GGAUGAAUGGAUAAAGAAGAUGUGGCACAUAUAUACAAUGGAAUAUUACUCAGCCAUAAAAAGAAAUGAAACUGAGUUAUUUGUAGUGAGGUGGAUAGACCUAGAGUCCGUCAUACAGAGUGAAGUAAGUCAGAAAGAGAGAGACAAAUACCGUAUGCUAACACAUAUAUAUGGAAUUUAAGAAAAAAAAAAUGUCAUGAAAAACCUAGGGGUGAAACAGGAAUAAAGACACAGACUUACUAGAGAAUGGACUUGAGGCUAUGGGGAGGGGGAAGGGUAAACGGUGACAAAGCGAUAAAGAGGCAUGGACAUAUAUACACUACCAAACAUAAGGUAGAUAGCUAGUGGGAAGCAGCCGCAUAGCACAGGGAGAUCAGCUCGGUGCUUUGUGACCACCUGGAGGGGUGGGAUAGGGAGGGUGGGAGGGAGGGAGAUGCAAGCGGGAAGAGAUAUGGGAAUAUAUGUAUAUAUAUAACUGAUUCAUUUUGUUGUGAAGCUGAAACUAACAUACCAUUGUAAAGCAAUUAUACUCCAAUAAAGAUGUUAAAAAAAAAACAAAAAAACAAAAAAAACAA